rnacentral:rRNA from 1 species
GACGGAAGGUGCAAGCGUUGCUCGGAAUCACUGGGCGUAAAGGGUGCGUAGGCGGCCGUGCAAGUCUGGCGUGAAAGCCCCGGGCUCAGCCCGGGAAGUGCGCUCGAAACUGCGCGGCUCGAGUGCCGGAGGGGAGAGUGGAAUUCCUGGUGUAGCGGUGAAAUGCGCAGAUAUCAGGAGGAACACCAGUGGCGAAGGCGACUUCCUGGCCUGUUCUUGACGCUGAGGCGCGAAAGCUAGGGUAGCAAACGGG